GGCCUUUCGGAUCGGUCAUGAUAAUUUAGCUUUUUUUUGGGCAUAGACCACACCUAUACAAUCAGUCAUGUCGUUGUCCUAUUUCAUUUUAGCUAUAAACCGCAUUUUAUCUUAUCGGCCAUGAUAGUUCAAUUCUGUUUUCGGCAUAGACUGCACUUGUAUGAUUAAUCGCGUCGUUGCCUUAUCUGCUAUACAUCAUAGACUACACCCUGUUGGAUUGGUCUUGACAAUUCACCCUAUGACACUUGUACGAUCAGUCACAUCAUUGUCCUAUCUUUUUUCUUCAUAAACCACACCCUUUCAGAUCGAUCUUGACAAUUCAAUUUCGUUUUUGU
rnacentral:lncRNA from 1 species